GACGAACGCUGGCGGCGUGCCUAAUACAUGCAAGUAGAACGCUGAAGAGAGGAGCUUGCUCUUCUUGGAUGAGUUGCGAACGGGUGAGUAACGCGUAGGUAACCUGCCUUGUAGCGGGGGAUAACUAUUGGAAACGAUAGCUAAUACCGCACAACAAUGGAUGACACAUGUCAUUUAUUUGAAAGGGGCAAUUGCUCCACUACAAGAUGGACCUGCGUUGUAUUAGCUAGUAGGUGAGGUAACGGCUCACCUAGGCGACGAUACAUAGCCGACCUGAGAGGGUGAUCGGCCACACUGGGACUGAGACACGGCCCAGACUCCUACGGGAGGCAGCAGUAGGGAAUCUUCGGCAAUGGGGGCAACCCUGACCGAGCAACGCCGCGUGAGUGAAGAAGGUUUUCGGAUCGUAAAGCUCUGUUGUAAGUCAAGAACGAGUGUGAGAGUGGAAAGUUCACACUGUGACGGUAGCUUACCAGAAAGGGACGGCUAACUACGUG
rnacentral:rRNA from 1 species